ensembl:snRNA U6 U6 spliceosomal RNA
GUGCUUGCUUUGGCAGCACAUAGACUAAAAUUGGAAUGAUACAGAGAAGAUUAGCAUGGCCCCUGUGUCAGGAUGACAUGCAAAUUCAUGAAGUGUUCCAUAAUUUU